ACUCAAAUGAAUUGACGGGGGUCCGCACAAGCGGUGGAACAUGUGGUUUAAUUCGACACUACGCGAGAAACCUUACCUAGGUUUGACAUACAUAUGACAGCCUCAGAGAUGAGGUCUUUUAGGGGAAACCCUAAACAUAUGAACAGGUGCUGCAUGGCUGUCGUCAGCUCGUGUCGUGAGAUGUUGGGUUAAGUCCUAUAACGAGCGCAACCCUUGCCAUCAGUUGCAAUUUCGUAAGAAAGCACUCUGGUGGGACUGCCUGGGAAACCAGGAGGAAGGUGGGGAUGAUGUCAAGUCCGCAUGGUCCUUAUGCCUAGGGCAACACACGUGUUACAAUGGCCAAUACAAAGGGCUGCAAACUCGCAAGAGGAAGCUAAUCCCAGAAAGUUGGUCUAAGUUCAGAUUGAGGUCUGCAACUCGACCUCAUGAAGUUGAAAUCGCUAGUAAUCGCAUAUCAGAACGAUGCGGUGAAUACGUUCUCGGACCUUGUACACACCGCCCGU
rnacentral:rRNA from 1 species